rnacentral:rRNA from 1 species
ACGGGUGAGUAAUACAUCGGAACGUGUCCUGGAGUGGGGGAUAGCCCGGCGAAAGCCGGAUUAAUACCGCAUACGCUCUAAGGAGGAAAGGGGGGGAUCUUAGGACCUCUCGCUCAAGGGGCGGCCGAUGGCAGAUUAGCUAGUUGGUGGGGUAAAGGCCUACCAAGGCGACGAUCUGUAGCUGGUCUGAGAGGACGACCAGCCACACUGGGACUGAGACACGGCCCAGACUCCUACGGGAGGCAGCAGUGGGGAAUUUUGGACAAUGGGCGCAAGCCUGAUCCAGCAAUGCCGCGUGUGUGAAGAAGGCCUUCGGGUUGUAAAGCACUUUUGUCCGGAAAGAAAACCCCUGCCCUAAUACGGCGGGGGGAUGACGGUACCGGAAGAAUAAGCACCGGCUAACUACGUGCCAGCAGCCGCGGUAAUACGUAGGGUGCAAGCGUUAAUCGGAAUUACUGGGCGUAAAGCGUGCGCAGGCGGUUCGUUAAGACAGAUGUGAAAUCCCCGGGCUUAACCUGGGAACUGCAUUUGUGACUGGCGGGCUAGAGUAUGGCAGAGGGGGGUAGAAUUCCACGUGUAGCA